CAGUCGCCGCGGGAAUACGUAGGUCCCGAGCGUUGUCCGGAUUUAUUGGGCGUAAUGCGAGCGCAGGCGGUUAGAUAAGUCUGAAGUUAAAGGCUGUGGCUUAACCAUAGUACGCUUUGGAAACUGUUUAACUUGAGUGCAAGAGGGGAGAGUGGAAUUCCAUGUGUAGCGGUGAAAUGCGUAGAUAUAUGGAGGAACACCGGUGGCGAAAGCGGCUCUCUGGCUUGUGACUGACGCUGAGGCUCGAAAGCGUGGGGAGCAAACAGGAUUAGAUACCCCGGUAGUCCCUGUCUCUUAUACA
rnacentral:rRNA from 1 species